CUUUGGCGUCUACAGCAACUAUGGGAGGAAAAUGAAUGUAUGCUGUUACUAGAAGAACCAGUAGUACUAAUGAUAGUGAGGAUGGACGGAUGUGAAAGGUAAAGUAAUAACUUCUGUUGUGGUGAUGGAGAUGGAUGCACCAUUAUAAACAAGCGAGGCUGGGUGGCUAUGACGUUACAUAGUUAUGGAUCUUGUUUUAUAGUUGAUCAUGUAUAUUAACGGCUAAUCAGUUGAUUUUAAUAUGAAAAGUAGAGAGGGGGGUGAUCAAGUGGAGCAUGGGAUAACUACUGGGUGAUGCAUUAGUUCAGCUAAGUUGAGCGGGGCACGUUUGGAAUGACUUGGCACAUGCUUGCUUGCUAACUUAUGUAAUUCGUGGGUAUCCUCAUAGUUAAGCUAUGUUUCACUUGAGGUAUGCCUGCAGGUAAGGUAAUUUCUGCUAGCUUUCUUGUAAAGAUGGGAAGGUAUGUAGCUAGGGCUGAGUUUGGGAACUCCAAGCCUCUUUUAGUAAAUAGUAGAGAGAUAUUUAUUUAAUUCCUGAAAAAUUGUGUGAAGUGAGAGUUACUAGUAGUGCCUGCAGGUGAUAUAUGGCAUAAGUAACCCAACAGGUGACAAGUAACCCCCGUUAUUCUUGUAAUGUAUUAUGCUCUUCCAAUGCAAUUUGUUGCUUCAUCUUGGGCCCCCUGUGUACUCAUCCUUGGUAGAAAAACAGAGCUUACAAACUUGGGAGUUCAAAAUAGCCAAAAAAAAACUUAGCUAGCUAGGUGAAAGUAAUGCUUAAUUAAUAUUUUUUGUGUAUUGUCCUCUUGCAAAGUUGAUGUGCACAGGCAACUGCAUCAGAUCUAUAACAUACCCUACCAUAUUACAGUGAAACGGAGGAGAUCUCAGGGAAUGGCUGAAGUUGCAUUGGACCAAUCUUGGUCCGACAAGCCUCCAAGACAAACUUGGAUUCAAUUUCGUUCUGGCAGAUCGGUAAGGUGACAGAUAUACUGUAUUUGUCUUUUAUGUGCCGCUUGCGUUAUGGUAUGAUUGAACAGAAUAAUUCGUGUCACAAAUCGAUGUUUAAUCCUGCAGGUAUGAAUGCCAUCCUCGCAAGCAUUGCGCAAGUUGAUAGUGGUGAUAUUCUUGAAAAGAAAAAAUCGAUAGUGGUAAUGAGAAAAGCACAGGAGGAGGACAAGAGGACAAGUGAGGCGGCAAGCUAAGAAGACGGUGGCUUGGCGUGCUUGGCGUAAUCUAACUUGAUUACCAGGCAGAGGCAGACAAACAGUGAGUGCAUCAUAGUAUACAUGAGCUCUAUAUAUAUAUACUUAAUUUGCAGCCAUUUUUUUCCUUCUUGUGCGUGCCUUUAUUUAUGUCUGCUUUGGUCAGCAGCUGGAUUCUAGCUCGAUGGAAGAUGUUCCUGCCACAUGUGCAUGCAUUCAUGCUGGCUUAAGGAAAUUAUUCAGGGAGACAUGAUGCCCAAGCAAGAAGAUCGAGGGCAGGGCUGCUCCAGAUGAGAUCAUCAGCCGCAGCUACACCUCUACCUCUGCUUCUUGUUUUCCUCUACCUGUAGGCUGUAGCAACAACAAGUUUUCCUCUACCCCUCUGCUUCUUGUUUAGCAACAACAAUAGUACUACUGCUCUGCUUCCUGUGUGUCAUCUGCAUCAAUGAUCUGUGAUGAUCUAUUGGAUGUAUCUCAGUAUCUGUGCUUAUAGCUUUCCACCAUCGAAUCGAACAUGCACGACUCAUUUUCUGGUAUUUCUCAGUCAAAUUUCUUUAAAUUUGAUCAAAUUUAUAAAAGAAAAACAUAGCAAUAUUUUCAGUACAAAACAAACAUACUAUGAGAAUGUAUUAUAUUUAUUUGAUGUUAGAUUUAAUAAAAUUAAUAUGAUAUUGUAGAUGUAUUAGUACUAUGCAAUUUUAGUUUGUUUUCUACAGAGUAUUAAUAUUUUCAUUUAGAGAGUAGCCCACGUGGUUGUCAAGGUCGCAUAUCUUACGCUUCGUGUAAUUAAUUAACUGCUGAUAACAUCAAACAAAAUUGAACGGAGCUUUCUUUUCUACUCCAUUUUCCCUCCCUGUUUCAUACCGUAAGACGCUCUUUUAGUAUGAGUAAGUUUAUAGAAGAUUAGACAAGAUGCCUAUUGAUAUAGCUUCAUAAGCAUGCAUAUUAAUGGGUGGU
rnacentral:lncRNA from 1 species